rnacentral:rRNA from 1 species
CAGUAGCCGCGGGAAUACGUAGGGUGCAAGCGUUAAUCGGAAUUACUGGGCGUAAAGCGUGCGCAGGCGGUUAUAUAAGACAGAUGUGAAAUCCCCGGGCUCAACCUGGGAACUGCAUUUGUGACUGUAUAGCUAGAGUACGGCAGAGGGGGAUGGAAUUCCGCGUGUAGCAGUGAAAUGCGUAGAUAUGCGGAGGAACACCGAUGGCGAAGGCAAUCCCCUGGGCCUGUACUGACGCUCAUGCACGAAAGCGUGGGGAGCAAACAGGAUUAGAUACCCGUGUAGUCCCUGUCUCUUAUAA